UACAGAGGUCUCAAGCGUUGUUCGGAUUCAUUGGGCGUAAAGGGUGCGUAGGUGGUGCUGUAAGUCAGGUGUGAAAUCUCGGGGCUCAACCCCGAAACUGCACUUGAUACUGCGGUGCUUGAGGACUGGAGAGGAGAUCGGAAUUCAUGGUGUAGCAGUGGAAUGCGUAGAUAUCAUGAGGAAGACCAGUGGCGAAGGCGGAUCUCUGGACAGUUCCUGACACUGAGGCACGAAGGCCAGGGGAGCAAACGGG
rnacentral:rRNA from 1 species